UUUUAGGGUUUAUUUCUGUUGCCCUAUUCUUCUCUCGUAUCUCUUUCGGCCACAUCAUUGGCAUCCUUACGCGUGCAACUUCAUCUUCUUCACGAGAUUCUUCCAUCUUCUCGAUCAACUCUUCGGACCACUAUUGAUCGUCGUUUGCCAGCAUUUUCUUCCUUCUUCACAUCCAGACGAAUGUCGCUGUCUUCUUUUCCCAUCCACUUGUCGACUUUUUCUUUCUCUUUUGCAUCCGAACGACUGUCGACUUCUGCUUCUUCUUUUUCCAUUGCGAACAGAUGACUUUCGACUUCUUCAUUUUCCAUUGCAACCAACCAGUUUCGGUUUCCUUAAGCAACAACUUUUUCUUCACUCGAUGUUUGCAUCUCACGUACAAGUUUCCUCGAGAAUAGUUCAUCAACAACUGGAAGGGCUUCGACAAUAGAUAGCAUCACUUGAGGCUACCUUGGGACGACAUCCAAUAUUUCUCUACCGAUGUAUUCUGAGUAUCUGGUAAACUCAUUUCCUAAUUUAUCCUCUCGUUGACGAAUAUGGUGGCUCAAUCUUCCAUGUAAUCUUUCAUGGCAACAACUAUUUCCUCAGUCAAUAAAGAUCAUCCUCGAAGGACGACAACAAUUUAGCUUUCUCAUAGGGGAAAUACCUUGCCCCAUACUAGGCGACCCACAUGAACGAUAUUGGAAGGCAGAGGACUCUAUUCUUCGAUCCAUAUUGAUCAACAAUAUGGAACCUCAAAUUAGCAAGUCGUUUUGCUGCAACAGACACUUUACUCCAAACGUAAGAAUGCCUCUCGUUUAGAAAGUAAGUUCAUGAAUGCAAGCAAGGAACCAUGGAUGUCACAUCCUUUUUCAAUAAGCUUUCUCUUAUAUGACAAGAAAUAGACCUAUACAGGCGUGAUCCCACUUAUGGUGUGCAGUACUCGAGAAUUGAAGAGAAUGACAUGAUUUAUGACUUUCUUGUUGGUCUUAAUCCUAAGUUUGAUGUAGUUCGAGGGCGUAUACUAGGCCAAAGACCUAUUCCCUCUUCAAUGAAAAUUCGUUUUGAAAUCCACCUCGAGGGAAAUCAUACAAGUGCUAUGAAUAUUUCUGCAACCCCUACUACUGACUUCGCUGCUUUUAGUGCAAGAUCUUCUAACAGUAGCAGUGACAAGCAUAAUGGAAAACAAAUUCCUGUCUGCGAGCAUUGCAAAAAACAAUGGAUACCAAAAAACAAUGUUGGAAGUUACAUGGUCGUCCCCCAUGAGGUAAGAAACGCGACAAACAAAACAUAGGGCGGGCGUAUGUGAGUGGGUCUACUAAACCUCCUCAACAAUCUGAUCCACACAAAAACCAAACUGAUCCCAGUCUUGCCACUUUAGGUGCCAUUGUCCAAUAAGGACUUGAGCUUGGGGGAGGAUGAUUGACACUGCCAGACAUAGUAUCUAUCAGCUGCAUUCUCGAAAGUAUUCAACGACAUACAGAUUUAUUGGAAAAUUUCAUAACAUUUCUUUGAGAUCUACUUCAGGUUUUGGGAAGUAAGGAAUGUGUGGUGCAACAUCUUUUGCAAUCUGCUUCCUCCAUCCUUUGCAAGGAAUUGAAUUUACAGAAAUUGGAUUUGUUGGCCUUAUAAAUAGACCACUUCUUAAUUAUUUAUUCCUCAUCCGGCAAGAAGAAUGAUUGAAGUCAUAUCGGGUUGAAAGUUAAGUGAUUGUGUAAAUAACCAAGCGAUUGUUCAAGGUUGAAGACUGCAAAAGCGUUUAUGAUUUCUUAUUUAAGUCUUGUGUAUUGGGAUCUUGUUUCAUGUAUUGUGUACAAUGUAUAUAUAUAAACACAAUAUUGAGAUUUGAUUUUGUAUAUACAUAUGUAAAAGAGAAAUAUUGUAGUU